GGAGAGGUGACCGAGUAGGCCGAAGGUGCUCGCCUGCUAAGCGAGUGUACGUGCUAAAACGCGUACCCAGGGUUCAAAUCCCUGCCUCUCCGCCA
rnacentral:tRNA from 2 species